AGCGAACGCUGGCGGCAGGCCUAACACAUGCAAGUCGAACGAACCUUCCGGGGUUAGUGGCGGACGGGUGGGUAACACGGGGGAACGUGCCCGUAGGUUCGGAAUCACUCAGGGAAACUUGAGCUAAUACCGCAUGUGCUCUUCGGGGGUAGGAUCAGUCGCCUUUGGAGCGGCCCGCGUAUGAUUAGCUAGUUGGUUGAGGUAAUGGCUCACCAAGGCGUCGAUCAGUAGCUGGUCUGUGAGGAUGAUUUGCCACAUUGGAACUAUGACACGGCCCCAACUCCUACGGAAGGCAGCAGUGGAGAAUCCUGCGCAAUGAGCGAUAGCCUGACGCAGCCAUGCCGCGUGAAUGAUGAAGGUCUUAGGAUUGUAAAUUUCUUUCUCCGGGGACGAUAGUGACGGUACCCGGAGAAGAAGCCCCGGCUAACUUCGUG
rnacentral:rRNA from 1 species